rnacentral:rRNA from 1 species
CCUACGGGUGGCAGCAGUGGGGGAUAUUGCACAAUGGGGGAAACCCUGAUGCAGCGACGCCGCGUGUGGGAAGACGGUCUUCUGUAUUGUAAACCACUGUCCCCAGGGACGAAAAUGACGGUACCUGGGGAGGAAGCUCCGGCUAACUACGUGCCAGCAGCCGCGGUAAUACGUAGGGGGCAAGCGUUGUCCGGAAUUACUGGGUGUAAAGGGAGCGUAGGCGGGGAUGCAAGUUGGGUGUCAAAACUACCGGCUAAACCGAUAGUCGCACUCAAAACUGCAACUCUUGAGUGAAGUAGAGGCAGGCGGAAUUCCUAGUGUAGCGGUGAAAUGCGUAGAUAUUAGGAGGAACACCAGUGGCGAAGGCGGCCUGCUGGGCUUUUACUGACGCUGAGGCUCGAAAGUGUGGGGAGCAAACAGGAUUAGAUACCCUAGUAGUC